GUAUAUGCCAUCCCUUACGCUUAGGGUGUUCAUGUGUCUGCUGGGGGUUUAUGCAGUAAGCAACCCCCUCCUCUCCCCGAAAACCCCCAGGCCUGUUAUCUGUCAGAAAGAGAGGUCAGAGUAGCGCAUGUGUCUGUGUGCAUGAGCGAGUGCGCCUAUAAUGGUCAGAAUGUCAUUAAAUAGAUCCGACCAUCUUUAAACGCCUCGUCCUCAUGCCGUUCAUGUCAGCAGCAUUCACAUGCAAUCUGGAAAAAGAUUGCAAUCUAGCAUGAGUGACAUGUCUUUAUUGCAUAGUUAUCUAAAUUACAUAGAGCAUACCAGUUUCCUUCAUCAUGCAACAACAGGUUUCUUUAUGCUAAAUACCUGCUCUUUUAAACCAAUCAGUAUGCAUUCCAUCUGCUUUACCAAACACAAUUGGGCUUCUUGUCCCUUAACAAUUAAUUUCCUGGUGGCAUUUUUCUUAUACCGCCUCAUUAUAGUUUCAGAGCUUUCACUAGGUGUGCUUGACGGUGCCAGCGUUUCUUUUUGGUUUUUAAGAUCGAUCCGAAAGUAAAAAUCCAUAUGCUUUCAAAGCAUUCCUUAAGGUUGUCUGCUUAAUUUUGUUCACCUGCAAGUUUUGCAGCCUAACAACAUGGACAUAAUAGCUUUGGGACAAUACAUGUAAAUCAGACUUUUAUGUAAAAUCAGUUUUUCUGAGGCGGAGUCACUUUAGUUAGAUAUCUCAAAAUUCAAGGUACUUUACCUUCAUCAUGUUGGCCCAAAUUCAGUUGUCAUGAGAAAUAAUUACAUGCUUUCCUGCAAGAAAUUUGGGCCUAUCCCCUUCAUCACCUCUCUUAAUAAAACAGUCUUGAUUUAGCAUGUAGCCACGUCAUGUCACAGGUUACGUCAGGACUUAUGAGCUUCAAGCGCAUCAGAAUUCAACAAGUUACUUCUUUUUGCUGUUUGGGGCCAUUAACAUGUAAAGGUGAUCGGCGCAUGUAAUGUCAGUGUUGUUGCAUUAUUGUGUGUAUGUGUGUGUAGAAGUAGCCAGUGUGCGCCUCACUUUCCUCCCUUGGACCGAACACACACAUACACAACUCCUGAAACGCAUGCCGACACACACACCUGACAUGUGACACACGGGCAGCGGAGCGGGCACAUCACAGCCGGGGCGUUUUAAUUGCCUGUAAUUUAUGCGGUGUGUGUGUGCUGUGUGUGUCUGGCUGUCAGCCUCUGAGAUGAUGCUGUGUGACAGCUGCAGUCCAGCCCCUGGAGCUAGCCGCUCAUAAUGACACAUUAGACAUACUAAUGAUGCCUGCGCGAGUCCACUACUGAUGCUACCUACCUCCACCACUCCAGCCAGGCUCUGCGCUUACGUACACCCACUCAUUCUCUGCCCAUUACUGACCUUUACACCUUCGCUCAAUCCCUGCAAACACUGAAAAUGUCUUCUUACUUGGAAUAAUAUGAUACUGAGCUUCACCUUUUUGAUUACUCUUUGCAGAAAAAGUGUGACAUCUCUUCAAAGCGCGUGUCAUUUUCAGAUACUCUGGCCUUGUGUGUGAACAUGUGUUGUUUUCAAACCUGUUCAUAUAGCUGUGAGGAGCACAAACCAUCUGAUGAAGCAUUUAGCAUUAUCUCCUGAGUUAAAAAUAUGUAGAUUCAUAAGGGCAUACUAUUAUUUCUUUAUAGAUAAAUUGAUGUAAAAUGCAUGUUUAAAUCUAGAAGGGUUAAAAUGUAUAUCGUUUAAAUACAGACCUGUUGAUUUAAACAAAAUAAGAGUUCAUUGCAUAUGUUUAAUUUACAUCUUACCCCUCGGCUGAACCUGUAUUGUUCUGUAGAUAUUGUACUUUGUUUAACCGUGUGUUUCUGUUUUGUGUGUUUGUGCCGAUCAGGGAUGCUGAGGUCUCUCAUGCGGCAGGGACAGUAUUUCUGUCAUGAGUGUGGGAAGAGUUUCAGUCAGCCCAGCCACCUGCGCACUCAUAUGAGGUCCCACACAGUUGGGUUUGAUUUUAACGGACUCCACAGAGGUACUGACGCUCACACCACCGCUUCUGAAGCUCCCAAACAAGGGAGAGGCCAUUCUGCUGCCAGCUCUGCCCAUACCGAGCCUCUCAGAAAGGGAACCUAAAGACGCACGUCCAGAGCGUCCACCAUAUGCCUUUUGACAACAGCCAGUACCCAGACACGAGGAGCUCGUUACUGAGCCAGGAGGAGCGAGGAGCUCUGGCUGCCAAACACCCACCAAACUCACAACAGUAGACCUUCUGACUGAUCGACCACGACCUGGACCCAAGGACCAGCCUAGUCAGGGAAUCACACAACAACAACCCCCCCUCCUCACAAUUCAUGAAAAUCUGGAAGUAGGACCCGAGACUCUUGAUUGACCUUUGGAGCUUCUCCUCUCCACCCAACAUCCUUUAAUGAUCUUUAAAGAAUUUUCUACAAUGAAGGUUCUUGUAGUUUUUGAAACUUUUUUUUUUUUUUAAAUCUUAAAGAGGCUUAUUACAGCUGUGCUAGGAAAUUUUAAAAUCACAAAGAGGGGCUGCAGCGGGAAAGAGUGUCUUUUCGCAUAAUUGAAAGAAUUUCUGGAGAAAGUCUGCUUUUAGAAACGGCGUGUGCCAGGUGUGCACACAGGUGGGGAACACUCUCACCACUGAAGAAAUGAAAUAUAAUGUCUCCCUAGCAGGAAAGCUGGACUCACCAACGUUCAAUCUUUGGCUUCUUUCCACUGAGAUGAAGGUUUGCAUCACCUGAAAGGAUUUCUGAAUAUAGAAGCCCUACAAAAUUCAAAGAGUUACCUCUUGCUGCCAUUUUGGAGGUACCAACAAGUAAAGCUGCCUCGCGCAGAUUUACAGGAAAAGCAGAGUUUCCGAACUCGAAAUGCAACUGCUCGCAUUUUAAUCAAGGACUGUGGAAUUGCAUGGCUGCUGUAGUUGCCCCCUCAACACUUUUUCUUUUUAGCUUUAUUGUAUGUGAGAGUUUGUGCAUUCCUCAGGACACCAAUCAUCAACCCGCAGCAAGAGAAGAUGCUCUGCAAUUCAUCAGCAGACGACUGGCACAUUGCAAGCUAGUCUCCUCUGGGUUUCUGAGUCAGAAGAUGAAAACCUGCAUCUUUCUGUCCGUCUGUGUGUGCGCGCGCGUGUGUGUGUGCGUGCUCAAGUUAAACUCACUUCCCUUCACUCCACAGUGUAACGGUGGGAGUGCAGUGACCACUCGGAGGCUGUGUAGCUGAUGAUUAGAAGGAGAGAGAAAGAUGGAGAGAGGUGGGAGUAGGAAGGGAGGGAGAGAGGGAGAGAGAGAGAGAACGCUAAUGGGGGUGUCUGCUUUAGUGCUCAUUAAAAAAAAGCGUGCGUUUUUAAUAGCCAAUAUAAAUGAGCGUCCCGUUUUUAUGGCCAUUCAAUUAUUGUCCAUUUAAGAGGAAGGGACUGAGUGGAGUUUUCCUUCAUAACUUGUUCAUAUUAGAGUGUUUCCGACUCCGACAAUUCUGACUUAAUAUUAGACUCCACAACAGUGGGAGUGGCAGGAAGAUGUUGACUCUAGAUUGCACAGAUUAUGCUUCAGCUUGUGUGCUUGCUAAGACGAACACGGUACUUCUCAUGUUAAAAAAAGAAAAGCAUCUCGAUAUUUGCCAUCAACUGUUUAGCCUGUCGACUUUCUUAAAAGCUAUGUGAAUAAAUUUGAUGACAAUUAGCGAAUGCCGGGUUCAGACUACACAAUAUUUUCUCUGAUAAUGUCUCAGAUUUGUUGACUUUAAAAUCAUGACAUCUUGCCAUGACUUUGCCGUGACACAUGACAUCAUCAGGAACGCCAUCAAUCGGAAACAAGAACGUCAGCAGUGGUGUGAAUGAUAUUGGCUGCUUUGUUCACAUAAGAAGAAUUAAAAAAGGAAAGAAAAGAACAAUUUGUAGAUCACACCAGAUGAAAAAUUUAGGUUGUCUAUCCUUUUGUCUGUUUUCCAUGUUGUGUGUGGAAGAUCUCAUUGGGCUCUUUUUGUUCAAUACGAUGGACAUGUUGUGGAGGUCGUCCCAGAACAGCACAGGAGGUCAACUCCUGUCAAAUUAUUUGUUGGGACAUUAUGAAGCGUCCUAGAUGCUUAAUGCAAAAAUGGUCAACUAUCAUAUACUGCACCGGAACUGUUGUCAUUUGGUAUUUUUUCAUCUGAUAUUGUCUAGUCUGAACCCAGCAUUAGCCGUCUUGGUAGAAAGCCUGCUAGCAGCACAUGAUACCGUAACGUGGUGUUUCCUAAUCAAGGAAUCACAUUACUGGGGUGGGAGAGAUUCAAAAACUUACUUUGUCUCGACUUUUUUUUAUUUCAAAAACAUUCCUUUUCUUCUUGUAAAAUAGUUGAAAGGUUCUAAAACUUAUUCAAAUGGAAUAAAAUCAGAGCCAAUUUGCUGUUUCUCUUUGUGCUACGCUAAUUUAGCCACCUGGAUGAACCUAAUGGGCAGACAUCACAGUGAUGUUCUCAUCUGACUCUUGGCAACAAAGUGUGUGAGUGCAUUUUCUCCCACAAUGUUAAACUGUUGCUUUAACGCGGGCUGGUUUGUUUAGCACAUAAAAUGGGCACAUGAGUGAACAUAUCCACCGUAUAUUAGCAUGCUUAUUGGACAUGCAACAAGCGACGCGAUAAGCAGCGACGCAGAGCUGAUUUUGUUGCCAGAACAUUUAAGCAGUCUAAUGAGCCAAUCUCCCGUGCUGUCAGUCUAAUUCCUUGAACGGUGAUGUGAAGAUUUACAUUCUGGGGGGGGACAGAGCGAGGAGGUGAGAGAGAGCAGCCAGAGGUCAGGAGGUCAGGCUUCCAGAGAGUUCAGGGAUAAAUACACAAGGUAGAGACAUUUUGAAGCCUAUUGAAUUGUAGAGCUGUCACAGCCUUAACACAAGUGUGUGCGAGUGUACAUUUAUGUGUGUUUGCGCAUUCUCUUCAAACCUCUGUAUACUGUGGAAGAAGUUGACCCAAUAUCUGCGUACUCCAGCCUCUGUCUAGAUGCUUAGCCUACCUCCUUUGCAAUGGAAGCCUGUUAAAGUUCAAACAUGAAGCAGGACUAUUUGUUUUUUCACCCCUAAAUGGUCCCCAAGAAAAAGCUGAACCGUGCUUCAACAUGUCGGGGAAAAGAAGAAACAAUGCAAAGCAGCUCAAAAGCUUCUAGAGCAAGACUGAAACUGUCAGUUUCUUAGAUUCAAAAUUCGCACCAGUUAACGACAACCGAUCAUACAGAGUACUGUACUUCCCAUCUAUUUUAAAACCUCAGUAGUUUUUACACAAACACAGCGAUGAAAUGGUUGCUUUACCAGUUGGUUGUUUAGUUAUGCAUACAAUGUUGUGUGCUUGAAUAUGCCUAACGAUACACAGACGUGUAUAUUGAAGGUGUGGGUAGUGAAAAUACUUGAAAUGGAUACUCUAGCCUUUGAGGUAGUGUAGUACUAAUACCAAUGUUGUACAGAAUUCCCUUUAAGAUUAACUCCUCAGUUAUGAAUUUGUACUCCGAAGUGUGACUUAGAAAAACUAUGAAGCAGGAGUGAGUGUAUGUAAUAUAAAGUGUAUAUCUGUAAUCCACUCUUACCAAACCCUUUAUAUACAGCAGUAGAAACCAAAUGGCAUUACUAGUGCACUUAGACUAGGUUAGUGCUUUAACCAUUCUCAUUUUGUCCAUCUCUAGCUAAGGUUUCUUUGAGAAUGUCUUUUUAUUGGUGCCGGCUAACACACUUCAAUGUAAUUUCUGGUUUAGAGGCUUUUUUUGUUUGUUUGUUAGAAUGAUUCCAUAGAUACGAAUGACAGGUUAUUUGUUCUGUGGCACAGCUUUUUUAGCUAUGUUUCCUCAUGGACAGUUUGAUAAUGCUAGGUGCGCAGUGCUUAUUUUUUUCAGAAAGAUGUAAGAGUGUGUUUUUAGUCUUUCUCUUUGCUAAACUGUAGGAUUUGUUCAGUAGCUAGUCAUGGCUGCCCUCCCAGAGGGGCUGGCAGGUGUUGUUCUUCUCUCUUUGGUUGGGUUUUUAUCAUGCCUCUUAAGUUGUAUUAUUUGUGUCCGUAUUGCUUUUUUUAUUUGUUAUGAACUUCAUGAUUAAUUUACCUUAGAAGACAUUAUUAUUCCAAAUGUAUUUGGUUGAUAUCUGUAUUUAUUAUCACUUCAAAAAGGAUAAGAGGACCGAGGCAGACAGGAGUGUUUGUUUUAAUUUGAUUUUUCUGGGUUGUUUUUGUUUUUAUACUGUGUAGUUUUCAAGCCAGCAAGCCGAUGUGAAAGCUCUACCUCGUCUGAGCCAUUCUCAGUUCUGUUACUUUUGUACAUCAUUUCAAAAAGAUGUAAUGUCAUGUCCACAAUAAAGACACACAAAAUGGCA